AUUGAACGCUGGCGGCAGGCCUAACACAUGCAAGUCGAGCGAGCGGCGGACGGGUGAGUAAUGUCUGGGAACCUGCCUGAUGGAGGGGGAUAACUACGGGAAACGGUAGCUAAUACCGCAUACCAUCGGAUGUGCCCAGAUGGUAUUAGCUUGUAGGGGAGGUAACGGCGCACCUAGGCGACGAUCCCUAGCGGGUCUGAGAGGAUGACCAGCCACACUGGAACUGAGACACGGUCCAGACGCCUACGGGAGGCAGCAGUGGGGAAUAUUGCACAAUGGGCGCAAGCCUGAUGCAGCCAUGCCGCGUGUAUGAAGAAGGCCUUCGGGUUGUAAAGUACUUUCAGCGGGGAGGCGUUACCCGCAGAAAAAGCACCGGCUAACUCCGUGCCAGCAGCCGCGGUAAUAC
rnacentral:rRNA from 1 species